rnacentral:rRNA from 1 species
GAUGAACGCUGGCGGCGUGCCUAAUACAUGCAAGUCGAGCGAACGGACGAGAAGCUUGCUUCUCUGAUGUUAGCGGCGGACGGGUGAGUAACACGUGGAUAACCUACCUAUAAGACUGGGAUAACUUCGGGAAACCGGAGCUAAUACCGGAUAAUAUUUUGAACCGCAUGGUUCAAAAGUGAAAGACGGUCUUGCUGUCACUUAUAGAUGGAUCCGCGCUGCAUUAGCUAGUUGGUAAGGUAACGGCUUACCAAGGCAACGAUGCAUAGCCGACCUGAGAGGGGGGUCCGGCCAACCGGAACUGGGACACGGUCCAGACUCCCAAGGGAGGGACGAGGAGGGAAACUUUCGCAAUGGGGGGAAGCCCUGCGGAGCAACGCCGCGGGAGGGAAGAAGGGUUUUGGAUCGGAAAACCUUGGUUUUAGGGAAAAAAAAAUGUGUAAAGAAACUGGGCCGAUUUGACGGGAACCAAACAGAAAGGCCCGGGCAAAUAACGG